rnacentral:rRNA from 1 species
GAAAUCAACCGAGAUUCCGUCAGUAGUGGCGAGCGAAAGCGGAACAGCCUAGUUACUAAAUCAUUAUUGGCUUUAGCAGAAUGUUCUGGAAAGUUCAGCCAUAGUGGGUGAUAGCCCCGUAUGUAAAAGGGCUAAUAAUGUGGGUAACGAUGAGUAGGUCGGGACACGUGAAAUCUUGACUGAAUACGGGGGGACCAUCCUCCAAGGCUAAAUACUCCUUACUGACCGAUAGCGAACUAGUACCGUGAGGGAAAGGUGAAAAGAACCCCGGCAAGGGGAGUGAAAUAGAACCUGAAACCGUAUGCGUACAAGCAGUCAAAGCA